CAGUAGCCACGGGAAUACGAAGGGGGCUAGCGUUGUUCGGAAUUACUGGGCGUAAAGCGCACGUAGGCGGAUAUUUAAGUCAGGGGUGAAAUCCCGCAGCUCAACUGCGGAACUGCCUUUGAUACUGGGUAUCUUGAGUAUGGAAGAGGUUAGUGGAAUUGCGAGUGUAGAGGUGAAAUUCGUAGAUAUUCGCAGGAACACCAGUGGCGAAGGCGGCUAACUGGUCCAUAACUGACGCUGAGGUGCGAAAGCGUGGGGAGCAAACAGGAUUAGAUACCCGCGUAGUCCCUGUCUCUUAUAC
rnacentral:rRNA from 1 species